rnacentral:misc_RNA from 1 species
CCGAAUGUUACCAAACAAACCACUGUGAACCGUCCCUUUAGCUGCUUCGGCGGGCGAUCCCAGGGCGGGAUCCCGGGCUCCUUACGGGGUACUCGCCGGCGGCCACUUUCUAGCUCUGUUUCUAGCGGGCUUCUGAGUGUAAACCAAAAAUAAUCA